rnacentral:rRNA from 1 species
AUACGGAGGGUGCAAGCGUUAUUCGGAAUCACUGGGCGUAAAGGACGCGCAGGCGGGUUGGCAAGUCAGAUGUGAAAUCCUACAGCUUAACUGUAGAACUGCAUUUGAAACUGCUAACCUAGAGUAUGGGAGGGGGAGAUGGAAUUAGUGGUGUAGGGGUAAAAUCCGUAGAUAUCACUAGGAAUACCGAAAGCGAAGGCGAUCUCCUGGAACAUAACUGACGCUAAGGCGUGAAAGCGUGGGGAGCAAACAGGAUUAGAAACCCUAGUAGUCC